GACAUUUGAAUUAGUCCCAUCUUUUUAGGAAAGACAUUUGAAUUAGUCCUAUCUUUAUAGGAAAGACAUUUUACAUAAAUUACCAGUCGCACUAAACUUGUCUAUGCAAACAUUUGAAAAUACACGACAAGGCUUCCUCAACAAGACCGAUAUCAUUCAAAUCAAGGUAUUAUUGUGCUGCUGUGAAGUGAAAUAUGGGACGGUUGAGACAUCCUGAAACCUCGGGUGGCUGAACACUGGAGUCGCUGACAGAUCUUCACACAAUCACUGGCAUUCUGCAGUGUACUGUAGUCCAAAAGUGGACUUUCUAAACCGGGCCAGUCUGUGUGUUGCUGCUGUUGCGUGGUGGAUGGAAUGGAUGUGGUGGUUGGCAUGGGCCCUAACAGGAUGUUAGACGACAUCCCCAAUGGCACCCUAUCCCCUAUUUACUGCAUUACUUUUGACCAGGGCCCACAGGGUAGUAGUGCUCUAUGUAGGGAAUAGGGUGCCAUUGGGGAUGUCGUCCCAGGACCAAGCUGGCAGCCAAGCAGGCAGGGUAGGGAGAGCAGAGCUCCACGGUCACACACACAUAUACCAGUCCAACAUUGCAGAAGGCAGGGGAAGCAAUUGUCCUGUGUGUGUAAUGGAGUCUUAGUGAAACCUGGUAGCCCCAGGGCCAAUGGAGUCUUAGUGAAACCUGGUAGCCCCAGGGACAGGGCAAAUGGAGUCUUAGUGAAACUUGGUAGCCCCAGGGCAAAUGGAGUCUUAGUGAAACCUGGUAGCCCCAGGGACAAGGCCAAAAGAGUCUUAGUGAAACCUGGUAGCCCCAGGGACAGGGCAAAUGGAGUCUUAGUGAAACCUGGUAGCCUCAGGGCCAAUGGAGUCUUAGUGAAACCUGGUAGCCCCAGGGACAGGGCAAAUGGAGUCUUAGUGAAACCUGGUAGCCUCAGGGCCAAUGGAGUCUUAGUGAAACCUGGUAGCCACAGGGACAGGGCCAAUGGAGUCUUAGUGAAACUUGGUAGCCCCAGGGACAGGGCCAAUGGAGUCUUAGUGAAACCUGGUAGCCCCAGGGACAGGGCCAAUGGAGUCUUAGUGAAACCUGGUAGCCCCAGGGACAGGGCCAAUGGAGUCUUAGUUAAACCUGGUAGCCUCAGGGCCAAUGGAGUCUUAGUGAAACCUGGUAGCCCUAUGGACAGGGCCAAUGGAGUCUUAGUGAAACCUGGUAGCCCCAGGGACAGGGCCAAUGGAGUCUUAGUGAAACCUGGUAGCCUCAGGGACAGGGACAAUGGAGUCUUAGUGAAACCUGGUAGCCUCAGGGACAGGGACAAUGGAGCCUUAGUGAAACCUGGUAGCCCCAGGGACAGGGCCAAUGGAGUCUUAGUGAAACCUGGUAGCCUCAGGGCCAGGGCCAAUGGAGUCUUAGUGAAACCUGGUAGCCUCAGGGCCAAUGGAGCCUUAGUGAAACCUGGUAGCCCCAGGACAGGGCCAAUGGAGUCUUAGUGAAACCUGGUAGCCCCAGGGCCAAUGGAGUCUUAGUGAAACCUGGUAGCAUCAGGGCCAAUGGAGUCUUAGUGAAACCUGGUAGCCUCAGGGCCAAUGGAGCCUUAGUGAAACUUGGUAGCCCCAGGGACAGGGCAAAUGGAGUCUUAGUGAAACCUGGUAGCCCCAGGGACAGGGCCAAUGGAGUCUUAGUGAAACCUGGUAGCCUCAGGGCCAAUGGAGUCUUAGUGAAACCUGGUAGCCCCAGGGACAGGGCCAAUGGAGUCUUAGUGAAACCUGGUAGCUUCAGGGCCAAUAGAGUCUUAGUGAAACCUGGUAUCCUCAGGGCCAAUGGAGUCUUAUUGAAACCUGGUAGCCUCAGGGCCAAUGGAGUCUUAGUGAAACCUGGUAGAUCCAGGGACAGGGCCAAUGGAGUCUUAGUGAAACCUGGUAGCCUCAGGGCCAAUGGAGUCUUAGUGAAACCUGGUAGCCUCAGGGCCAAUGGAGUCUUAGUGAAACCUGGUAGCCCCAGGGACAGGGACAAUGGAGUCUUAGUGAAACCUGGUAGCCCCAGGGACAGGGCCAAUGGAGUCUUAGUGAAACCUGGUAGCCCCAGGGACAGGGCCAAUGGAGCCUUCGUGAAACCUGGUAGCCUCAGGGCCAAUGGAGUCUUAGUGAAACCUGGUAGCCCCAGGGACAAUAGAGUCUUAGUGAAACCUGGUAGCCCCAGGGACAGGGCCAGAGCCAAAGCAUUGCAAAGGGUUUAGUGUCGCUGCUGAAAAGCAACCGCCCCGGCCGGGACUGUUCCGGUAACAUCCAGUCUUAUUUUAGCUGAGAGACUUGGGGGUCGGAGUUGGAUUAUUAGCAGAGAGAGAGCAAGAGAGCGAGAGAGUGAGAAAAGGAAAGAGAGGAGAGAAGUAUCAAGGCGGAGU
rnacentral:lncRNA from 1 species